rnacentral:rRNA from 1 species
ACGGCUCAGUAACACGUGGACAACCUACCCUGAAGAGGGGGAUAACCCCGGGAAACUGGGGAUAAUACCCCAUAGGCUAUGGAUGCUGGAAUGCUCUGUAGUUGAAAGGUCCGCCGCUUCAGGAUGGGUCUGCGGCCGAUUAGGUUGUUGUUGGGGUAACGGCCCAACAAGCCUGUAAUCGGUACGGGUUGUGGGAGCAAGAGCCCGGAGAUGGAUUCUGAGACACGAAUCCAGGCCCUACGGGGCGCAGCAGGCGCGAAAACUUUGCAAUGCGAGCAAUCGUGACAAGGGAACUCCGAGUGCCUGUAAAAUCAGGCUGUCCGCCAGUGUAAAUAACUGGCGAAGAAAGGGCCGGGCAAGACCGGUGCCAGCCGCCGCGGUAAUACCGGCGGCUCGAGUGGUGGCCACUAUUACUGGGCUUAAAGCGUUCGUAGCUGGCUUGUUAAGUCUCUGGGGAAAUCUUCCGGCUUAACCGGAAGGCGUCUCAGGGAUACUGGCAGGCUAGGGACCGGAAGAGGUGAGAGGUACUCCAGGGGUAGGAGUGAAAUCCUGUAAUCCUUGGGGGACCACCUGUGGCGAAGGCGUCUCACCAGAACGGCUCCGACAGUGAGGAACGAAGGCUGGGGGAGCAAACCGGAUUAGAUACCCGGGUAGUCCCAGCUGUAAACGAUGCGCGUUAGGUGUAUCGGUGACCACGAGUCACCGAGGUGCCGAAGAGAAAUCGUGAAACGUGCCGCCUGGGAAGUACGGUCGCAAGGCUGAAACUUAAAGGAAUUGGCGGGGGAGCAC